UCGAGAAUCUUCGGCAAUGGGCGAAAGCCUGACCGAGCGACGCCGCGUGCGGGAUGAAGGCCUUCGGGUUGUAAACCGCUGUCGUAGAGGAGGAAGUUGAUUGGGGUUCUCCCCAGUCAUUGACCUAUUCUAGGAGGAAGGACGGGCUAAGUACGUGCCAGCAGCCGCGGUAAUACGUACCGUCCAAACGUUAUUCGGAAUUACUGGGCUUAAAAGGGGUACGUAGGCGGCGCUGUCAGUCGGGUGUGAAAGCCCUCGGCUCAACCGAGGAAUUGCGCCCGAUACUGCAGUGCUUGAGGGAGACAGAGGUAAGCGGAACUGAUGGUGGAGCGGUGAAAUGCGUUGAUAUCAUCAGGAACACCAGUGGCGAAAGCGGCUUACUGGGUCUCUUCUGACGCUGAGGUACGAAAGCUAGGGUAGCGAAGGGGAUUAGAUACCCCGUAGUCCUAGCCGUAAACGUUGAGCACUUGAUCGAGGCCCCCCAUAGGCACCCGGUCGUAGCGAAAGU
rnacentral:rRNA from 1 species